rnacentral:lncRNA from 1 species
AUGGAAAUGAAGUACUGGGAAAGGUCAUGCUUUGAUGAUAAUGGGACAGUACAAAAGUUUCAUCCAAAAGAACAGUUGGGAAAAGAGUUUCUACAGGAGCAUGAAAAGAAAGAGGGUGAUGAGGAAAAUGAGAGUGGUAGUAGGAUAGUGGAGGAAAGCCUUGGGAAGGUCUCAGAGUUGUCAGAGGAAUACUUUCAUGGCCUAGAAGAUCUACCGUGGAAUCUAACCUCACUCGAGCAGUGUGUAUAUCUCAGUCUGCCAGUGUGGCUACAGGCAGCUAUGCUUUGUAACCUGGCUGGACAGUACGGCAUCUGGACUUUCCAUAACAACUUCUUGCCUUGCCACCUGAUCUCCUACCUGUUGCUACCCUACACUUUUCCUGCCUUGGUGAUGAUCUCAUUCAGCUACAGGUUAGCCCACAUACGCCUCUGCCAGUAAUUACUUAUUGGUCAGUCUUCACAGAGUAAGACUGCUGACCUGCUAUCAGUUUGUGCAUGAACCUAUAAGGCAUGGGCCCAUAUUCACAAAGCUUGUCAGAUCAGGACUUCUGAUCUAGGGUCAGAUUCUCAGUAUUGACUGAGUGAUUGGUUCUUAUACUGUUGAAAGGUUUUGUUAAUAUGUGCCCUGAUUUAAGAUUGGUGAUCAUGUUCUGUGAAACUUAAUAAAUGUGGGCCACUAUUUAAGAGAAUAUCA